rnacentral:rRNA from 1 species
CCUACGGGUGGCAGCAGUAGGGAAUAUUGCUCAAUGGGGGAAACCCUGACGCAGCAACGCCGCGUGGAGGAUGAAGGUUUUCGGAUUGUAAACUCCUUUUGUUAGAGAAGAUAAUGACGGUAUCUAACGAAUAAGCACCGGCUAACUCCGUGCCAGCAGCCGCGGUAAUACGGAGGGUGCAAGCGUUACUCGGAAUCACUGGGCGUAAAGAGCGCGUAGGCGGGAUAGCAAGUCAGAUGUGAAAACCUAUGGCUUAACCAUAGAACUGCAUUUGAAACUGUUAUUCUAGAGUAUGGGAGAGGUAGGUGGAAUUCUUGGUGUAGCGGUAAAAUGCGUAGAGAUCAAGAGGAAUACUCAUGGCGAAGGCGACCUGCUAGAACAUAACUGACGCUGAUGCGCGAAAGCGUGGGGAGCAAACAGGAUUAGAUACCCCUGUAGUC